UUUUUCCGUUCUUUCUUCUUCAACCGUGGGAAAGAACCGAAAAUGGCAGCUAUGGAUGAGCUCCAUUCGGCCAAGCUUCUAUGGCUUAUAUAGUGUUGUCAGGUUGGCUCGGGGUUGGAGAUCGUCGGAAGUAUCAUCACACUAUUAGUUUAUUAAAUUAGAAUAAUGGUAAUUCUUAUUUAUUGUCAAAUAAGUGGCAUGUAUAGAUAAUAAGUUAUUGAUAUUAGGUAAUAUUAUGAUUUAGCCAAAUGUAUAGGCUCAUUUUGCUUCAUUGUAUAUAGCCAUAAGAUUUGGCUCAUAAUGGUUAAAGUUAUGUAAACCUAUUUUAUGUAUGCAUAGAUAAAUAUCUUGGUGUGGCUAAGUUAAGAACACAAAAA